rnacentral:tRNA from 2 species
AGAUGAGUUAUAUGAGCAGCUGCUAACUGUUUUUUAGUUUAUUGCUAAAUUAAUUUG